rnacentral:rRNA from 1 species
UACGGAGGGGGUUAGCGUUGUUCGGAAUUACUGGGCGUAAAGCGCGCGUAGGCGGACUAUUAAGUCAGAGGUGAAAGCCCGGGGCUCAACCCCGGAAUUGCCUUUGAGACUGGUGUGCUUGAGUACGGAAGAGGUGAGUGGAAUUCCCAGUGUAGAGGUGAAAUUCGUAGAUAUUGGGAAGAACACCAGUGGCGAAGGCGGCUCACUGGUCCGUAACUGACGCUGAGGUGCGAAAGCGUGGGGAGCAAACAGGGAUUAAGAUACCCCCGUAGUCC